rnacentral:rRNA from 1 species
UUCGUAGGGGGCUAGCGUUGUCCGGAAUCAUUGGGCGUAAAGAGCGUGUAGGCGGUCCGGUAAGUCCGCUGUGAAAGUCGGGGGCUCAACCCUCGAAUGCCGGUGGAUACUGUCGGGCUAGAGUGCGGAAGAGGGAAGCGGAAUUCCCGGUGUAGUGGUGAAAUGCGUAGAUAUCGGGAGGAACACCAGUGGCGAAGGCGGCUUUCUGGUCUGCUCUUGACGCUGAGGCGCGAAAGCUAGGGUAGCAAACGGG